rnacentral:lncRNA from 1 species
UUGUUUAGUUAUUUUAGGUUCUUUAGGAUUUUUAGCUGCAGGCAUGACAAUAUUUGUGGUAGCGGAGAGUGUUGGAAACUGAUUUGGACUUUCAAAAUGGUACGAAUACUCCGAAUACUGAAAUGGACAUGGUUUUGUUUUAUACUUCCCGUUGAAGGAACACAACGUAAUGCGACAUGUUUCGACAACUGUAACUGCUGUAAGAGUAAUGUAUGUCAUACUGUGCAUUAUAGCAAUCAUACUUGGAUGAAUGUUUGCUCACACGGAUGCAUCGAUGGUCAUAGGGGCGCUAGAUGUUACGAGCUUUGUACAUACAAUAAUUGUGUAUCGUGUGAAAUGGACGUGAAUAUAUGUACUGCUUGUAAGGACGGCUUUUAUAAUAAAGAAGGGUCGACCACAUGUCCGUACUCUCUUUGUCCAAACAAUUGUAAGUGCAAUGAUGGUAAAACAUGUACAACAUGUAAAAACGGUUUCUUUGAUACAGGCAACGACUGUAAUAAAGAAAGUCGGUCUAACUGUUUGACCUGUUCAUCUAGAGAAAUAUGCAACGAGUGUAAAAAGGAUUUUAUAACGGGUAUGAAUUUGUCAAUAAUGUUAAACAGUUGUUCAAUAAUUGCACAUUUAAAUGCAUCGACAGCUGCAAAGAAUGUAAAUCAUAUGGCAGCUGUUUGCAAUGCGUUAAGGGAAAAUAUGGCCCAACAUGUCAAAAUAAUUGCUCGAUUGGGUGCAGAGGCCAAACAUGCGAUAUUGAAUCUGGUAAUUGUAUAUGCUCCUCAAACUUUGAUGGUGACAAAUGCACGGAUUGUGUUUCUACAAAAUAUUGAACCUAUUGUAACGAGACAUGCCCUGAAAGCUGCAAAAAUAGUAAGUGUAACAAGACUUCGGGGUAUUGUAGUGAAGGUUGCAUCACAGAUACAAUAACUGGGGAAACUUGUAAUGUUUGUGCACUCGGGAUGCACGGAAUAGUUUGUAACAAAACGUGUCCUUUAAAUUGCAAAGGUAAAACGUGUAACCGAAAAUCUGGAUUCAGUUCUCGGGGAUGUGAAAACAACUUUGAAAGUCAAUUUUGUGACACCUGUAUACAAGGAAAGUAUGGUACAUCAUGUAAACAAAAUUGUUCAUUGAAAUGUACAAAUGCUUUAUGUGAGAAAGAAACUGGAAAUUGUUUUAGCUGUAUCGCCAAAUUUGAUGGGGACAUGUGUAACACAUGUAGAAAUGGAUUUUAUGGGCUUAAUUGUAUAAGUUUAUGUCCUUCUCAAUGUUUCAACAAAUCGUGUGAUAUUAAUGGCGGACAAUGCGAUUUUGGCUGCACAUUUAAUUAUUUCGGAGAUAAAUGUUGUGUAAAGAACGACAAGUGCAUAGAAUGCUCCUCUGACACGGAAUGCCAAAAAUGUAAAUCUGGUUAUUUCAGUAAAUUGUGUCAGAAAAGGUGCCCUGUUAACUGUCUAGAUUCAUGUGAUAUCUCAUCGGGCGUUUGCAGCGAUUGCAUAAUAAACCAUUUUGGACCCUUCUGCAAAUUGAAAUGUUCUCAAAAUUGCAAUGUAUCACGAAGCAGGGCCACACGUGACUGUGCGUCAUCCGACGGAAUAUGUAUGUUUGGUUGUAAACAUGGUUUCUUCGGUCUUAAAUGUAAUGAGACAUGUAGCAGCCUUUGCAUCGACACCCUGUGUAGGCAAGAGAGUGGUAUUUGCGUAAAAGGUUGCACAGGAGCAAAUGACGACCCGAUGUGUGUACUGAGUUUAGGGAAACCACAAGAUGUAUCCGACAAGAAAUCAACAACUGCAUAUGUUGUUUUCGCAACACUCUUUGCGGUUACUUCCACGGCAUUAUUUGUUCUUAUUUUGAAGUAACUAAUAAAGAAAACACGUUUCUCAGUCAGGCAGACCGUGGAAUCUAUGAUUCGAAGUCGCUUUCAAAAUUCACAAAACGAAGAAGUAAUCGCUGUUUCUGAAGUAGACAAUACCGCUUAUGAAUUCAUCAAUACAUGUCAAGGUGAUACGGACACUUGUGGAAACACGGACUACAUGAAUCUUCGAAUUCAAGCAUCAUGAUAUGUCAUUCUCGUUUCGUAACGUUUUUCCAUACCUACCAAGAAAUCGGACUUGCAUAUUCAUAACAUUUAUUAGUUUUACUUUUUGAAGCCUAUUUCAAAGAUAUUUACCCUUAAAGGAUUUUAUAAUUGUAUGCGAUACUUGGCAUUUUCACAAACGAUCGGUGUAUAUGAAUUAUUCUAGUGGUAUAACAUUUGGUUCUACAUGUGUAUAUUCAAAAGCUACUUUUGAAUUGCUGUUAUAUACUUAAAUAGUGUAACAGACUCGAUAGAGACCGGAUAAUAAUUACGAUUUAAUUGAAGUACUGAAUCUAGUAAGAUGCUUUAUAUUUAUGCUUUGAAUGUUAUAUAAUUUAUGUAAACUAUUUUUCUUACUAUGGUAUUUUGUCAUUAAUUUAAUAUUUUUGUACAGAAAGUUAUUACUAUGCUAAAUUAUUGUGUAAGUAAUAUCUAUAUGUCAUAUCGUUCGUACUAUGCACGAGCACUAAUUAAUGUUCUGCCUUUACAUAAAAAAGUAAAAAGGUAGAGAUAGUAUCAGUAUUACAAAGUUAACUUCCUUUUACUAUUUUUCAAAAGUUAAUGUAUCUAAAUAGUCAAACGUUUAGUGUAUUCAUAGACACAAAUAUGCAAAUGUAUUUAAUAACAAUGUAUUCAAGUCAAUAUGCAUAAUAAUUAUUAUUCCUUUGAAUCAGAUUUUAAAUCAUAAUAUGAAUAUUACCAAUAGUAUUAUACAAGCAUAACACAAAACAAACUUAAUCAGUAACUAUUACAUUUUUUCUCAUGUUUUUUUCUCUUUUAUUUUUAAUGUCUGCUUUUUUGAUGACUACAAAUAUGGAACUUGUAAGGUACUUCUUUCCGCAGCAAUUAUCUCCCCUGUCGCUGUUUUAUUGCUGGGGAGACAACUUCAUAUGAGAUAACAUUAUUAAUUAUUAGACUUAUCGCUCAUAACAUUUAAACUGUAAGACUUUAUUCUUAAACUUUUUGAAAUGCAAAAUAUUCAAAUUACCUCGAUUUUUAUGCAAAUGACGUCUGAAAGGACCAUGUAUGAUAAGGCACAGUUUUAGCCCCCAAAUUUUGAAGAAAAUGAAAUUAAAACUACAUCUCAACGAUAUGAAUUAUCUGAAAGAUAAAGGAUUAAUCUUGCAGUUUAUAAAGAAAAAAUGCAACAG